rnacentral:siRNA from 1 species
GAAAAUUGAGGGCAAAAUGGUCU